rnacentral:rRNA from 1 species
GAAAGUAGGAAAGGGCGCACGGCGGAUGCCUUGGCUCAUUCAGGCGAAGAAGGACGUGAUAAGCUGCGAUAAGCCGCGGGUAGGCGCAAAUGGCCAUUGAUCCGCGGAUUUCCGAAUGGGACAACCCAGGCGGCAGGAGGCCGCCUAUCCGGAGCAUUCCGGAUGCUAACCGGGGGAACUGAAACAUCUUAGUACCCCGAGGAAGAGAAAAUAAUCUAAUGAUUCCCCCAGUAGUGGCGAGCGAACGGGGAAGAGCCCAAACCGUGACGGUCGCAAGGCCGCCGCGGGGUUGUAGGACCGCGCCAUUGCACAUUGAGGGUGAGUGGAAUCUCCUGGAAAGGCGAAUCGUAGAAGGUGAUAAUCCUGUACACGAAGCCCGAUGUGGCAUAGCGGUAUCCUGAGUAACGCGGGACACGAGGAAUCCUGCGCGAAUCUGCCGGGACCAUCCGGUAAGGCUAAAUACUCGAAUGAGACCGAUAGCGAACGAGUACCGUGAGGGAAAGGUGAAAAGCACUUCCAUGAGAAGAGUGAAAUAGUUCCUGAAACCGUGCGCCUACAAGCGGUCGGAGCGCAGCGAUGCGUGACGGCGUGCCUUUUGCAUAAUGAGCCUACGAGUUGCCGUCACCGGCGAGGCUAAGCCCCACGAGGGGCGCAGCCGCAGUGAGAGCGAGCCUGAAGAGGGCGUUUUAGUCGGUGGGGGCAGACGCGAAACCAAGUGAUCUACGCAUGUCCAGGAUGAAGUCCGGGUAACACCGGAUGGAGGUCCGCACCAAUAAGCGUUGAAAAGCUUCUGGAUGAGGUGUGCGUAGGAGUGAAAGGCCAAUCAAACUUGGAGAUAGCUCGUACUCCCCGAAAGGCAUUUAGGUGCCGCGUGUGGCGUUCCCCUGGAGAGGUAGAGCGACCGAUAGGACGCGAGGGCUUCACCGCCUAUCAAGUCCUGACGAACUCCGAAUGCUUCAGGGCAGGAGCCAUGCAGUAAGGGGGCGGGUGCUAAGGUCCGUCCCCGAGAGGAGAAGAAUCCGGACCGCCGCCUAAGGCCCCGGAGUUUCCGCCGAGUCAGUCUAACGAAGUCCGGUCCCCGUGACAGCCAGGAUGUUGGCUUGGAAGCAGCCAUUCAUUCAAAGAGUGCGUAACAGCUCACUGGUCGAGGGUCCGGGCGUGGAUAAUAAUCGGGUGUAAGCGGAACGCCGAAGGCGCGGGAUAGCAGAGCAAUGAAAAGUAUCGGUAGGGGAGCAUUCCACCGGCGUUGAAUGCGUGGAGCGAUCCGCGCUGGAGCUUGUGGAAAAGCAAAUGUAGGCAUAAGUAACGAUUAGGAGGGCGAGAACCCCUCCCGCCGUAAGUCUAAGGUUUCCCGGGCAAUGCCAGUCAUCCCGGGGUCAGUCGGGUCCUAAGCCUCAUCCGAAGGGAGAGGGCGAUGGCAGAGACGGUCAACAUUCCGUCACUUGCCACGGGGGCGAUGUGGAGACGGAGCAGUGAAACGGCCGCGGGGCGACGGAAGUCCCCGUUGAAGGGUGUAGGUGAUGAUAGAGGCAGGCAAAUCCGCCUUUAGAGCCGAACCUGACAGUAUCUUCCCUCCUUCGGGAGGUAGGAAUAGCGCCGGUAACCAUACUCCCGAGAAAAUCCGCUAAGCUCAACCCCAUGGCAACCCGUACCGCAAACCGACACAGGUAGACGGGUAGAACAUACUAAGGCGUUGGAAGAUUCAUGGUUAAGGAACUAGGCAAACUGACCCUGUAACUUCGGGAUAAAGGGUCCUCACAGCGAUGUGAGGCGCAGAGAAUAGGUCCAGGCAACUGUUUAACAAAAACACAGGGCUGUGCAAACACGAAAGUUGAGGUAUACAGCCUGACACCUGCCCGGUGCCGGAAGGUUAAGAGGAGACGUCAUCCCUUUGGGUGCAGCGUUGAAUUGAAGCCCCGGUAAACGGCGGCCGUAACUAUAACGGUCCUAAGGUAGCGAAAUUCCUUGUCGGGUAAGUUC